ensembl:lncRNA
AUGUGCCCUAUGGGACCGCCGUCUGCCCUAUGGGACUCCUAUGUGCACUAUAAGACAUCUCUGUGUUCUAUGGGACUCCUACAUGCCCUACAGAACCUCCAUGUGCCCCAUGGGGCCCCCACGUGCCCUAUGGGACCUCCGUGUGCCCUAUGGGACCCCUAUGUGCCCUAUGGGACCCCCAUGUGCCCUCCAUAGGUCCUAUGGGACCCCUGUAUGCCCUAUAGGACAUCCCUGUGUCCUGUGGGACUCUUACAUGCUCUAUAGAACCUCCAUGUGCCCUAUGGGACCCCCACAUGCCCUCCAUGUGCCCUAUGGGACCCCCACGUGCCCUAUGGGACCCCCACGUGCCCUCCAUGUGCCCUAUGGGACCCCUACGUGCCCUAUGGGAGCUCUAUGUGCCCUAUGGGACCCCCACAUGCCCUCCAUGUGCCCUAUGGGACCCCUAUGUGCCCUAUGCGACCCCUACGUGCCCUAUGGGACCCCCACGUGCUCUCCAUGGGCCCUAUGGGACCUCCACGUGCCCUAUAGGACCCCCACAUGCCCUCCAUGGGCCCUAUGGGACCCCUACAUGCCCUCCAUGUGCCCUAUGGGACUCCCACGUGCCCUAUGGGACCUCCGUGUGCCCUAUUGGAUCCCUACGUGCCCUAUAGCACCUCCAUGUACCUUAUGGAACCCCCAUAUGCUCUAUGGGACCCUUAUGUGCCCUAUGGGACCGCCGUGUGCCCUAUGGGACCUCUAUGUGCCCUAUGGGACCCCCACGUGCCCUCCGUGGGCCCUAUAUGGCCUAUAGGACAUCCCUAUAUGCCCUAUAGGACAUCCCUGUGUCCUGUGGGACUCUUACAUGUCCUAUAGAACCUCCACGUGCUCUAUGGGAGCUCCAUGUGCCCUAUGGGACCCCCACAUGUCCUCCAUGUGCCCUAUGGGACCCCUAUGUGCCUUAUGGGAUCUCCAUAUGCGCUAUGAGACUUCUAUGUGCUCUAUGAGAUCUCCAUGUGCCCUAUAAGACCCCUAUGUGCCCUAUGGGACCCCCGUGUGCCCCAUGGGAC